CAGUAGCCACGGUAAUACGAAGGUCCCGAGCGUUGUUCGGAAUCACUGGGCGUAAAGGGAGCGUAGGCGGCGUGGUAAGUCAGAUGUGAAAUCCCGGGGCUCAACCCCGGAACUGCAUCCGAUACUGCCGUGCUAGAGGAUUGGAGAGGUAGCUGGAAUUCUUGGUGUAGCAGUGAAAUGCGUGGAGAUCAAGAGGAACACUCGUGGCGGAAGCGAGCUACUGGACAAUAUCUGACGCUGAGGCUCGAAGGCCAGGGUAGCGAAAGGGAUUAGAUACCCCUGUAGUCCCUGUCUCUUAUAC
rnacentral:rRNA from 1 species